rnacentral:lncRNA from 12 species
CUCAGAACAACAUCGGCUUUGGUGGGCAAAGGGUAUGCGGCAGCAGGUCAGGCUGGUGCGUGUCUGCACACCAUGGCGGUGUUACAGGCGUACCAGGCUGACCUGCUGAAGGAGCUUGAUGAGGGAGAGGAGAUCAAGUCCGAUGACAUCACUGAGCUCAGAAGGACCGCUGAUCUCUCCCUCCGCGCCACCAAGGAGACCGCCCGAGCGAUUGGGCGGUCCAUGGCAGCUAUGGUGGCUGCGGAGAGGCAUUUGUGGCUGACCCUGUCUGAAAUGAAAGAGCGGGACAGGGUCUGCCUUAUGGACGCCCCGAUCCAGCCUUCUGGCCUGUUCGGCGACGCAGUCAACACUGUCGUCGACAGGUUUCAGGAGGCUCGCAAACAGGCGGCGGCGUUCCAUAAAUUCCUCCCUCGUCGCUCCCUCGGGGCAUCUGGGCGGGAGAUGCCCCAGCCGCACCCUAGCUCCUCAUACCGAGAGGCUCAAAAGCAGAGCGUCGCCUCUCGUGCUCCCCCGCAAAGGGAACGGGAGCCUCAGCGACGCUCUCGGCCGAGGUCUUCGAGGCCCAAACAAGAUUUGAGGGCAGUCAUUGAUGCUAAGAAGGCCUCGGCCAAGAAGCCCUGACGCCAGAGAGCCAGGGCGUCAGAGGGCAGCCUCUGCUGGGGUAGAGCGGUGCACACCGCAUUACACGGUGCCCGUCUCGCCUCAGCGCCCUCUGGGGGCCGGUCUGCCAACCCUGCCAGUGUUCCAGGGCGCAGCGGUCCCCAGCGAGCAUCAUUCUCAGUAUCUUCCGCCCGUGCGCGUAGCGGGGCUGAGACGCUCGCCACCCCUGCGGGGGCCUCUUACACCAGAGGUCAGUCUCGAGAGACUGAUUCCCUUAGUAGAUUAUUUGCCAGCGUGGAAACUACUGCCAAAUGUAUCUCAAUGGGUCCUGCACACGGUAGAGAAAGGUUACCGUAUUCAGUUCGGCUCUGCACCGCCGAUGUUCAACGGGGUUACUCCGACGAUAGUCGGCCCCGAGCAGGGUCUGGUUAUGGAACAAGAAGUGAAAGCCCUAUUAGAGAAGGAGGCCAUCGAGGUGGUCCCUCCUCAAGACAGGGAAUCCGGAUUUUACAGCCGGUAUUUCAUAGUUCCAAAGAAGGAUGGGGGGUUGCGUCCGAUCAUAGACCUGCGGGUCUUAAAUCGAUCAGUUAUGAGACUGAAGUUCAAGAUGCUCACGAUCAAGCAUGUUGUAGCGCAGAUCAGGUCCGAGGACUGGUUUGUCACAAUAGAUCUCAAAGAUGCAUACUUCCACAUAUCCAUCCUUCCACAACACAGGAAGUUUCUGAGGUUUGCUUUCGGGGGCGAAGCUUACCAAUAUCGAGUACUUCCCUUUGGCCUCGCACUCUCACCCCGCACGUUCACGAAAUGUGUAGAUGCGGCUCUGGUCCCCCUGCGCAUGCAGGGCAUCCGCAUUCUCAACUACAUCGACGAUUGGUUGAUUUUAGCUCAGUCAGAGCAGGCUGCGGCUCGGCAUCGAGAUGUCGUUCUCGCACAUAUGGGGGAGCUGGGUUUGAGACUGAACGCCAAGAAGAGUGUACUUUCUCCAGUUCAGAGAACCACCUAUCUAGGCGUAGUAUGGGAUUCGACCACGAUGCAGGCACGAUUGUCCCCUGCUCGUAUCGAGUCGAUCCUCAUCUCAGUCGAGAGAGUCAAAGAAGGCCAGUCACUCACUGUCAAACAAUUUCAGAGAUUGUUGGGUCUGAUGGCAGCUGCGUCCAACGUGAUACCUUUUGGCCUGCUGUACAUGAGACCCCUACAGUGGUGGCUCAAGACCAAGGGAUUUUCCCCGAGGGGCAAUCCACUUCGAACUAUCAAGGUCACGCGGCGCUGCCUCCGUGCCUUAGACAUGUGGAAGAAACCUUGGUUCUUGAAUCAGGGCCCAGUGCUGGGAGCUCCUGGUCGCCGUGUAACACUAGCGACGGAUGCUUCCCUCACUGGUUGGGGUGCGGUCAUGAGUGGCCACCCUGCCCGCGGUCUGUGGAGCGGUCGCCAUCUGACAUGGCAUAUCAAUUGUCUAGAAAUGCUAGCAGUUUAUCGUGCACUGAAGCACUUCCUCCCAGACCUAAGGGAUCACCAUGUGUUGGUGCGCACCGACAACACAUCGGUGGUCUCUUACAUCAACCACCAGGGAGGUCUGCGUUCGCGCCCCUUGUACAAGCUGGCGCACCAGAUCCUUGUGUGGUCCCAGGGCAAACUCCUCUCACUCAGAGCAGUAUAUAUUCCUGGGAAACUGAAUGUGGGAGCAGACAUACUGUCGAGGCAGGGGCCGAGGCCCGGGGAAUGGAAGCUUCACCCCGAGGUGGUGGAGCAGAUAUGGAGAAUUUUUGGCAGAGCUCAAGUAGACCUCUUUGCAACUCAGGAGACAGCACAAUGUCCCCUUUGGUUCUCUCUAGUUCAUCCAGCUCCCCUGGGACUGGACGCUAUGGUACAGACCUGGCCGAGGCUUCGUCUGUACGCAUUUCCCCCUAUUGCUCUGCUCCCGGGAGUUCUGGCGAGAGUACGCCGGGACGGGGUCCGUCUAUUGUUAGUAGCCCCGUUCUGGCCGGGCCGAGUAUGGUUCGCAGAUCUGGUCUCGCUCCUCGACGGCUCUCCUUGGGAGAUACCGAUCAGGACAGACCUACUCUCACAGGCGCAGGGCACGAUAAUUCACCCUCGCCCGGAGCUGUGGAAGCUGUGGGUGUGGCCCCUGAGGGGGCGCAGUUCAUAGCAUCCGGUCUCUCAACCGAGGUUGUUGAGACCCUCCUCCAAUCCAGAGCUCCCUCAACGAGGAAACUGUACGCCCUGAGGUGGAAACUCUUCACCUCAGGGUGCAGAAACCGCCAGCUAGACCCAGUAAACUGCCCAGUUGGUACAGUUCUGGAGUUCCUACAGGCCAGGCUCUCUGCAGGGUUGACCCACUCCACGCUGAAGGUCUACGUGGCGGCCAUUGCGGCCUACCACGCCCUUCUCGAUGGUCAGUCUUUGGGAAGACACCCAUUAGUUACACGUUUCCUCCGCGGUGCGCUGAGGCUGAGACCUCCAGUACGGUCCCGUAUUCCCCCGUGGGACUUGGUUGUGGUGCUAGAGGCCUUGUGCAGACCUCCAUUUGAGCCUAUUCAAGAUAUUUCAGACAGACAUCUGACACUCAAAACCGCCUUUCUGUUGGCUAUUACCUCUCUGAGAAGAGUAGGAGAUUUGCAGGCCCUCUCAGUGGCCCCUACAUAUCUGGACUUUGCACCUGGCAUGACCAAAGCGUUCAUAUACCCUCGAGCGGGAUAUGUUCCUAAGGUCCCCUCUGUCAC